UUGGCUAUCAUCACCAUGGGGACUGCAAUGAGGGGAAAGACAAACGUCAAGCUCUGGAAACAUGCUCUGAAGGAGUGGCAAAAAUCAGUGCCAUGUAUCAAAGGCAUUGAAAACAAUGUCUAUAAUUCUUUAAAAUGGAGCUAUGAUUAGGGAUGGCAAAUAUCCAAUGAUGGAUGGAUAUUAUCCAUCCAAACACAAAUCCAUAAUUAUCCAUAAUGGAUAUAUCCAUAUUCAUAUCCAGUAAUUAAUAUUGGACAUGAAUAUGAAUUUUAUCCAUAUAGUUAUGGAGAUCCAUGGAUAUCCAUGGAUAUUUUAUUUUUAUUAUAUAAAAAUAAUAAUAUAAAAUAAUUAAAAUUCUAAUAUUAAAUUUGGCUAUUAAACUAUUUAUAUUAGUAAUAAUAUAUAUAUAUAUAUAUAUAUAUAUAUAUAUAUAUAUAUAUAUAAAAUAUAAUAUAAUAAAAUGGCGGUCCGGUGGUUGGUGGUGGCGGUCCGGUAACUUUCCGGCGAAGUCCGGCGGUGGUCCGGCAACUUUCCGGCGAAGUCCGGCGGUGGUCCGGCGACCUUCCGGCGAACCCGACGGUGGUCCGGCGACCUUCCGUCGAGGUACGGCGGUGAUUCCGGCGAUGUCCGACGGUGGUCCGGCGAAGUCCGGUGGUGGUCCGGCGAUUUUCCGGCGGAAGUCCAUUUAUAAUAUUAAAUCAUUAAAAUAAAAUAAUAAUUAUUAAUAAUAUUAAAUAAGUUAAAAAAUUAAAGGGUAAUUUUGAAAACUUUAACUUUUAAUAUAAGAGGAAAUUAAAAUUUUCACUAGUUAAUAUAAGAUAAUAUUAAAUUUUGUUGUUUUUUUUUUAUUUUAGUUUAACAAUAUAAAUUUUUUAAACUUGAAAUGGAUAAAUUAAUUAGAUUUUGGAUAUCCAUUAAAUAUCCAUACCCAUUCAAUAUCCAAUUGAAUAUUUUUAAAAAUAUCCAUAUCCAUAUCCAAUAAGAUUUUGGAUGGAUAUUAUCCAAUCCAAUUAAAUUGGAUAUAUGGAUAUCCAAUUUGGAUGAACCAAUUUGCCAUCCCUAGCUAUGAUGCGUUGGAAGGUAACAGCAAAUAUUGUUUCCUGUAUUGUUCUUUGUUUCCUGAAGAUUUCUCAAUUGAAGAAAGCGAACUUGUGAGGUAUUGGUUAGCUGAAGGAUUAAUAGACGAACAAGAAAACCACGAGGACUCAUUCAACAGAGGAAUUUCUUUGAUUGAAAAUCUGAAGGACCAUUGUCUGUUGGAAGAUGGUGCUAGUGAAGGGACUGUGAAAAUCCAUGAUGUGGUACGGGAUGUUGCCAUAUGGAUUGCAUCUUCCUUGGAGAAUAGAUGUAAAUCACUUGUUCGUUCAGGGGC
rnacentral:lncRNA from 1 species